rnacentral:rRNA from 1 species
UACGUAGGAGGCGAGCGUUGUCCGGAAUCACUGGGUGUAAAGCGCGUGUAGGCGGCCUGCCAAGUCUGCUGUGAAAGCGCCUGGCUUAACCGGGCGAGGUCGGUGGAAACUGGCGGGCUGGAGGCUGGUAGAGGGGGGUGGAAUUCCUGGUGUAGCGGUGAAAUGCGCAGAUAUCAGGAGGAACACCUAUUGCGAAGGCAGCUCGCUGGGACGUAACUGACGCUGAGACGCGAAAGCGUGGGGAGCAAACAGG